rnacentral:rRNA from 1 species
UACGGGGGGAGCAAGCGUUGUUCGGAUUUACUGGGCGUAAAGGGCGCGUAGGCGGCCACCGCAAGUCGACUGUGAAAUCUCCGGGCUUAACCCGGAAAGGUCAGCCGAUACUGCGGGGCUAGAGUGCAGAAGGGGCAACUGGAAUUCUUGGUGUAGCGGUGAAAUGCGUAGAUAUCAAGAGGAACACCUGCGGCGAAGGCGGGUUGCUGGGCCGACACUGACGCUGAAGCGCGAAAGCCAGGGGAGCGAACGGG